rnacentral:lncRNA from 1 species
CGCCUGAACAAAAGCAUGAUGGGUAGUGUUGUCCGAACAGACCGCUAGAUGGGGCUGAUCCUCCAUGGGAAUCUGGGUGGGUCGGCGCGUCGGUGGAAGGGUUCGUGAGAGGACUCGCGGCGUCUUCCUGCAGCCAGGCUUGGAGAAACCCACUAAACAGAUGAGCCCAGGGCAGGGAAGCCAGCCUCUCCUCCUGAGCCUUUUUUGCCUUGCUGGUUUAUGCUUUGAGAUCCAGAACGAGAGUCUUGGACUUAUAACCUUUCCACAACCCUUUGGCAGUGCCUCCUUCGACCACCAUGUUGGAACACAUUGUUCUCAUCCUCCCAUUCUACCAUGGGAAGUCUUCAAAUACUUGAGGUAG